AUACGGAGGGUGCAAGCGUUAAUCGGAAUUACUGGGCGUAAAGCGUGCGUAGGUGGUUUGUUAAGUCAGAUGUGAAAGCCCCGGGCUCAACCUGGGAACUGCAUUUGAAACUGGCAUACUAGAGAAUAGGAGAGGAAAGUGGAAUUUCAGGUGUAGCGGUGAAAUGCGUAGAUAUCUGAAGGAACAUCAAUGGCGAAGGCAGCUUUCUGGACUAAUACUGACACUGAGGUACGAAAGCGUGGGUAGCAAACAGGAUUAGAAACCCCAGUAGUCC
rnacentral:rRNA from 1 species